rfam:Brachypodium distachyon strain Bd21 chromosome 2, whole genome shotgun sequence.
AGACCAUGAUGAGGGCACAUUCUUAUCAGAUUCUGGUAUCUAUUCCAUGCAUCAUAAAGACUCUCACCAGUGAACUGUGCAAACCUUGUUAUCUGAUCUCUAUACUCU